UACGUAGGGUGCGAGCGUUGUCCGGAAUUAUUGGGCGUAAAGAGCGCGCAGGUGGUUGAUUAAGUCUGAUGUGAAAGCCCACGGCUUAACCGUGGAGGGUCAUUGGAAACUGGUCGACUUGAGUGCAGAAGAGGGAAGUGGAAUUCCAUGUGUAGCGGUGAAAUGCGUAGAGAUAUGGAGGAACACCAGUGGAGAAGGCGGCUUCCUGGUCUGUAACUGACACUGAGGCGCGAAAGCGUGGGGAGCAAACAGGAUUAGAUACCCCU
rnacentral:rRNA from 1 species